UGCAGUCGAACGGUAACAGGGAGCUUGCUCCGCUGACGAGUGGCGAACGGGUGAGUAAUACAUCGGAACGUGUCCUGUAGUGGGGGAUAGCCCGGCGAAAGCCGGAUUAAUACCGCAUACGCUCUACGGAGGAAAGGGGGGGAUCGCAAGACCUCUCGCUAUAGGGGCGGCCGAUGGCAGAUUAGCUAGUUGGUGGGGUAAAGGCCUACCAAGGCGACGAUCUGUAGCUGGUCUGAGAGGACGACCAGCCACACUGGGACUGAGACACGGCCCAGACUCCUACGGGAGGCAGCAGUGGGGAAUUUUGGACAAUGGGCGAAAGCCUGAUCCAGCAAUGCCGCGUGUGUGAAGAAGGCCUUCGGGUUGUAAAGCACUUUUGUUCGGGAAGAAAAGGUUUGGGAUAAUACCCUGAGCUGAUGACGGUACCGGAAGAAUAAGCACCGGCUAACUACGUGCCAGCAGCCGCGGUAAUACGUAGGGUGCAAGCGUUAAUCGGAAUUACUGGGCGUAAAGCGUGCGCAGGCGGUUUGUUAAGACAGAUGUGAAAUCCCCGGGCUCAACCUGGGAACUGCAUUUGUGACUGGCAAGCUAGAGUAUGGCAGAGGGGGGUGGAAUUCCGCGUGUAGCAGUGAAAUGCGUAGAUAUGCGGAGGAACACCGAUGGCGAAGGCAGCCCCCUGG
rnacentral:rRNA from 1 species